rnacentral:rRNA from 1 species
GACGAACGCUGGCGGCGUGCUUAACACAUGCAAGUCGAACGGAAAGGCCCUGCUUUUGUGGGGUGCUCGAGUGGCGAACGGGUGAGUAACACGUGAGUAACCUGCCCCUGACUUUGGGAUAACUUCAGGAAACUGGGGCUAUUACCGGAUAGGAGCUCCUGCUGCAUGGUGGGGGUUGGAAAGUUUCGGCUGUUGUGGAUGGAUUGGCGGCUUAUGGGCUUGUUGGUGGGGUAGUUGCUUACCAAGGCUGUGACGGCUAGCCGGCCUGGGAGGGUGACCGGCCACAUGGGGACUGAGAGACGGACCAGACGCGUACGGGACGCAGCGGUGGAGAAUAUGACAGAGUGGGCGGGAGCGAGAGGCAGCGACGCCGCGUUCGUGAUGACGGGCUUCGGGUGGUAAACCGCUUUCGCCUGUGAUGAGGAGUGAGUGACGGUAAUGGGUAAAGAAGCAACGGCUAACUACGUG